rnacentral:tRNA from 1 species
GCUUUGGUAGUUUAACGCCAAAACACUGGUCUUGUAAUCCAGCAAUGAAAUUUUUUUCUCAAAGCA